rnacentral:lncRNA from 1 species
UGCAAUCCUGCUCGUCGCCUCGUCAUAAUCCAUGUCCUCACUCGGCUCCGUCUCCUCGUCCUGCUCUGCCUCCUGACUCCCGUACUCGUCAAUCAGUCGAUAGACGCUGUCAUCACUCGGCUCAUCCUCAACGUCAGUGUCCAUCAUCGGUCCAAAAACCGGCACCUCGGGAACAGGUACCCAUGUCUCAACUCCGUCGGCUGUAGUGUGACGCUGCAACGGCUGAGUCCGUCCGUAUCCGACCGUCAUCUCUGGAGUCUCCUCAUCCGGG